rnacentral:rRNA from 1 species
AGAGACUGCAAGCGUUAUUCGGAUUCACUGGGCGUAAAGGGUGCGCAGGCGGCCAGGUGUGUGAGGCGUGAAAGCCCGGGGCUUAACCCCGGAAUUGCACCUCAAACUACUUGGCUAGAGCAUUGGAGAGGGUAGCAGAAUUCAUGGUGUAGCAGUGAAAUGCGUAGAUAUCAUGAGGAAUACCAGAGGCGAAGGCGGCUACCUGGACAAUUGCUGACGCUCAGGCACGAAAGCGUGGGGAGCAAAAGGGAUUAGAUACCCCUGUAGUCCACGCCCUAAACGGUGCACACUAGGUCUUGGCGGAUUCGACCCCUCCAGGGCCCCAGCUAACGCGUUAAGUGUGCCGCCUGAGGACUACGGCCGCAAGGCUAAA